GUAGGGAAUCUUGCGCAAUGGGCGAAAGCCUGACGCAGCCAUGCCGCGUGAAUGAUGAAGGUCUUAGGAUUGUAAAAUUCUUUCACCGGGGACGAUAAUGACGGUACCCGGAGAAGAAGCUCCGGCUAACUUCGUGCCAGCAGCCGCGGUAAUACGAAGGGGGCUAGCGUUGCUCGGAAUUACUGGGCGUAAAGGGCGCGUAGGCGGAUAUUUAAGUCGGGGGUGAAAGCCCGGGGCUCAACCUCGGAAUAGCCUUCGAUACUGGAUAUCUUGAGUACGGGAGAGGUGUGUGGAACUCCGAGUGUAGAGGUGAAAUUCGUAGAUAUUCGGAAGAACACCAGUGGCGAAGGCGACACACUGGCCCGUUACUGACGCUGAGGCGCGAAAGCGUGGGGAGCAAACAGGAUUAGAAACCCUAGUAGUCC
rnacentral:rRNA from 1 species